UCCGGUGACCAUAGCAGAGGUGCCAUACCCGUUCCCAUCCCGAACACGGCAGUCAAGACCUCUUGCGCCGAUGGUACUGCCAAUAGGCGGGAGAGUAGGUCGUUGCCGGGC
rnacentral:rRNA from 1 species